AUCUGACCUGAGAUACCAUACUAUCGGUAAAAUACGUUAAGAAAACAGCAUACACUGUGUUUGAUCUCAUAAUGCACAUCCGACCGACUGCAUAUGCUAAUACAUUGCGUGAGUUGCGUACAAUGUUACCUCUUCAUAAUUUGAUUACAACACACAAGAGAAGAAAGCAGAACGACUGAUGUGGGGGAUUUGAGUCGGAAGUGGGAAACCGAGAAAAACACUGUGUGUACUAACUCGCAUACUAAAUGCACACACAAACGCUAGCUCAGCCGGGGUGUCAUAUACAAUAGUAAAAACACACUACAUUUUUUAUUUUUUCAUUUUAAUUCUCGAAUACUCUUCUACUCACUUUAAGCGACCUUUCGCAUCAUAUUCUCCGCCUUUAAACCCCAAAAAUACAUGUGAGAAGACAGUUGUACGCCAGCUCACAACAACAUGAUGCUGAUCGCACAUCUUUGGACUGUAAAAAGAGGCACCGAUGCAGUCAGUAGCGGAGCAAAAUGGAGAACCAUGGUGAUGAUGACUUUUUUUCAACGAGAGAUUUAAGGCGAUAGGUGGGGUCGAAAUAUAGCAUGUAUAAAGAUGUGCAGGGCAGGGAUGAAAAAUUAAACUGACGGUUGGGAAUGAAUGAGAAAAAAAAGAAAUUAGUUUAAAUUAUAAUAAAAUAGAAUAAAAUAAAUGGAAUUCAAUAAUAGAGAA